GAGCGGCGGGGUGGUCGGUGGGUGGGGAGCCCCUCACCCCCGUCGAGCGAUCGAGAGGCCAAACCCCAGCCGCCCCCGCCGGGAAUUCGGCAUAGGGGACCGAGGGAGCAUAGUCGAGAGCCGGGAUGCAGCCUCCCAGGCGGAGGCGGCGAUCGGUGGGCACGUUUCUUGGGGAAUGGUGGAAACUCAGGAAGUAUAGGACCCGGUGGGGCAGAUCGAUUUGGAGGAAGGAAGUUAGACUGUUUGAGGGGUACGUUUAAGUAAAAGCCGCCAGGAGGUCGAGACAGUUUGGGGACCCUUGACCGCCGGAAUGACAUGCCAAGCCGCUGCACACACACCACCCCCCACCCCGAGGCCUACUAGGGUUAGGCUGCCUGUGUGUGCGGAGGCCGACGGGACCUUAGGGUGGCGUUGGGAAGUUGUGGCAAGACUGCUCCUGGAAGUCAAGAGCCUGCGUGCUCAGGUCCCGCCGAGGUGGGAGGCAGUGGAGGAGAUAACGGUGACCUAAAAACUCUGGGGCUUACUCGAAGAUUAAAGGUACCCAGGUCUGGACGCGCUUCCAUUUUAGUUAGGGCUCUAGAAGGGAAAUGGUUGCCCACUCUGCUUCUGGUGCAUGUGGCCCCUGGAGGCCGGAACAGGAGCCCGGCAAGAGGGAGUCUGUCUUCUAACGUACUUUGGGGUACACGGCCCUCUGAGAGGGCGCCAAGGCAACUUCAGCGGAGCGGUGUGGGAGGUUUUGAAAUAGGGUAAAAAGGAUGACAGAGCAGAAUGGUGCCGGGCUGAGAAGAGGGAUCAGGCGCCCAUUUACCGGACCACGUGUGGAAAGGCAGAGAGCAUCACCACCGUCUUAUCGUGCCUUCGCCUUUUAUUUCUGCAGCCUUGAUUGCCAUGUCCCCAUGGUUCUCCCAUUAGAACUUUCAUGGUUUUAUUUUACUUCUUUAAAAAUAGCGUAUAGUUGACCAGAGUAUGGUGGGUGUGCAAAAUUGGAAACAACUCCUAAUCUAUUUUUGUAACCACUGGUUUUAGCUCCUCACCUUUUCAGCACAAUAAGGUUCUAUGAGAAAUGCCCUCGGGUUUUUGCUGGACAGUGAGCGGUAUGUACGUGAAAGUUAGUCGUGAAAACUAAUAUAGGAGACAGAUUCAAAAGUAAUUCUAAUAUCUUGUGGACUGACAUGUGCUGUAGAGGUGUGAACAGUGUAAAUGAGGUUUAGAGAGUGGAAGGGAUUUGGAGGAAUUUAGCAAAGUUAUGGAGGAAGUCAGAUUUGAAUUCAAGCUAAAGUUAUGAGAGUAUGGUUGGUAACAGUACAAAGGAUGACACUGUAUUAAAGCUGUGACAAGUCACAAUUACUGCAUUAUUAGGUCUAGAUUAGACCUGCUGGUUAACAGGGUGCAAGAUACGUACAAGAACUAGAAACGGAUACAACUUUGUUAGUAUGACUACUGCCUUAGGUUAGGAGAAGAGAAAAUAGAAUUGAUUUGGAAGCUCUUAUAUUUAAAUUUGUAAAGAGUAUCAAGGUUUACCAGAAAGUAAUGUUAUGGUGGAAACCUGGCUCCAAGGUAGAAAAGAAGGUGAUCUUGAAAAAACUCCAUUCAUUCAUAAGCCUAGGACCAGUGUGGAUGAAACAGGUUGUGAAAAUUUCAAAGCCCUGUUUGCGCCUCUCGAAUUUCAGACAGACUUGGGUCAACAGACAGGUGCUAAUAAGAGCCCAUUCGAAGUGCAUCACAAUACUUAGAUGACCCAUCUGAAGAAGGAACACAGACAGGCUCCUGUGGAACUUGUGUGAUGAAAAAUACUCCUCAAACUUAGUAUUUGUGCUAGGGGGAAUGAAUAAAUAAAUCCAGUAUUAGCUUUGGAGAAUAGAGAAUGGGAAGGUUGACAGGGUGGUUGAGUGUUAAUUGCAAAAGCAAAUAUGUUUGCCAACCUAACAGUAAAGAUGUGUUGGAGAAGUUUAUCAACAUUUACAAAACUGCUUUCAAAAGUUUUGACCACAACCUAGAGAAAACAUUUUACAAUACCCCCCACACACUAGUCUAUUUUUCUUUAAUGAUAUUUGUGACUUACUAAAUUAGUUUCACAUUUGAUUUGAGGGGUGACCCACAGAAAAACACUGCUUUAUAGAGUUAAGAAAUCCAAGCUUCCAUUUAGUUAGUUAUUAGUUGGUUAGUAUUCAUAUGCUUCAGCACUUUGCUAAGUUUCUGUUUGGGGAAAAGCAGGAUACUGCUUGCAAAUUGAAGGCAGUAAAAAAGGAACACCAUAUUCUUGGGUCUUACAGUGAAAGGGAUACAAAAGCAAAAGCUCAGUGUUCCCCAGGGAACUUCUUUUCCAGUUGUGGAAAAAAGAUAACAGAAACUUAACAGUGCAACCUUAGUGAGGGUCCAGGUAGCCAGGAAAAACCUUUCAUGGAAUUUGACUUUGAAAUGGGGAGGAAAUGGAUAUUGGGAAAGGCUGAAGAAAUAGCAAAGGCUUGAGGGUAGAAGACUUAACUCUGUUGGCCUGGCAGGAACUGGAACUCUAAACUUAAGUGAGGCAUUUAACCUUGCUUCCAUUAGCUUAUCUUAUUUAUAAAUGGAAGAUCUUACUUGAGGUAAAACACUGCAGCAUUCCUCAGACUAUUCACCCUAACUACUUGCAGUAGUUACUUUGAAUGCUUGUUAAAUCGUGUAGAUUCCUGAGUCCAACUACAGAUGUAAAUUCAGAGUCUGUGGAGCUAGGUCCAGGGAAUCUGCUUUUUUAAUAAGCUCCCUUGCCUAUUUGAAAAUCAUUGACUGCAGUAGUGCCAUAAGAUUCAAAGUGUAAGAGAGAUUUCUAGGUGCAGUCAUGUUAAUCUUAUAAUCUAUCUUUUAUUACUACAUCAUUCUGAUAAACAUUUUGGAUAUACUUAAUUCUGAUUCAAGUGGAUUCAGGAAUGUCAACUACAGUUUUUUUGAAAGGACAUUCUGAAUUUAUUUUUGUCCUUUUUAAGUUUUCUCUUAAAUCAUUCCAGAUUUCACAACUCAGAUUUUCAGUUUGUUUCUAGUUGCCUGUUUUUAUGUAUAGAGUAGAUGUCAUUUAGCUUUUUAAAAUCUCUUCAUAAGCUUUUUUUUUUUUUUAAUUCUUGUAUUGGUUUGCUUUUUAUCCCCUAAUACCUUGCCAUAGGUUUUUGUGUUCAUUCCCCUGUUAAAAGUCAAGGGGGUGACACUUUUCACUGGACUUAUCACUUAUCACUGUUUUCUUACAUAUGUUUUUCUUGACACCUCGUUCAUCAUGAGUAUUAAGUAGACACUCAGUAAAUAUUUUUUCUUUUUUUUUUUUUUUUUUAGCCCCACCGCCCCCAAUAUUUUUUUCUUGACUUAACCUGUAUAGUGAUUUAGAUGGAUGUAAACAGCAACCCACUCCAGUAUUCUUGCCUGGAAAAUACCAUGGACAGAGGAGCCUGGUGGGCUAUAGUCCAUGGAGUCCCAAAGGUUUGGACACGACUUGGCAACUGAACAACAUCUCAAAUAGCUGGUCUUUAGCAGUUACUGCUUUGUGUUUCAGCUGGAAGCAGGAGAUGAAGGUUCAAUCCCUGGGUCGAGAAGAUCCCCUGGAGAAGAAAUGGCAACCUGCUCCAGUGUUCUUGCCUGGAAAACCCCAUGGACAGAGGAGCCUGGUGGGCUACAAACCAUGGAGUCACGAAAGAGUUGGAUGUGACUGACUGACUAAAACAACAGCACUGACUGGACUGUCCCUCCUGCCUCCAGAACCUCAUGUCUAGAUGUAUACUUAAUUUCUUCAGUAGGAAACCUGAUGUUUAUCUCAAAAACUUGUAACAUCUCCAGCACAGCACUCAUAAUACCCUGCCUUCUCCCAGUUGUCCCCAUUUCUGUAAAUGGUAAAUGACUCUGCCUUUCCUUCAGUUAUUCAGGCAAAAAAUCUAAGAAUCAUUCUUGAUUCUUCCCUAUUCCUUAUGUCUUCAUCUUGUUCACCUCGUAUCUGAUCCUUCAGCAGGUGCCAUCAUUUUUAUCUCCAAAAUAUAUAUUUAGUCCAGCUACUCUCAUUCUGUUUCCACUGUAACUCACUCACACAGCAGUAGCUUCUGUCGGCUGCCUCCAGUCAUUUCUCAACACCCUAGUAACGAGGCUUUUUAAAAGCAAAUCGCCAUCUUGUCUAAAACCAAUAUUUUAGUAAUUUUUGCAUUUAAAAUCUAAACUUUUUUCCUGUACGGCUCAGCAGCUGCUUUUCUUUCUAAGCUCACUUGAGUCAGCUUCCUCUCAUUUGCUACCUUCACUUACAGUAAUCCUUUGCACUUCCUCAGGCUCUUUCACAACCCAGUGCUGCAAACUUGACCCACUGUUCUAAUCAGCCUUUAGAUCUAACUUUGAAACUCACCCUCCUAGAAAAUACUUUCCUAACCACCCUAUUUGAAAUAGGCAUCCCCUUCUAUUUUCUGUCUCAGUCUUUUGUAUGUGUUUCCUUUAUUAUAGUUUGUAAAUUGUUUAUUAACUUCUCCAUUUACUUUUGCUCCGGGUUUUCUUUUCUCUCCUCUAGAUUAUAAGCGAUGCUAUCAGAUGGCAAACAGUGACUGGCGUAUUAGAGCCUUUGGUAACUAUUUGUUAAAUUAAAUGAUGAAUGAUCUAAAAUGAUAUCUUGCUGUUCAGCUGGAUGGUCUAAUUUGUUACUGAGAUAAAUAAAUUUGUCUUUUAAGAUAC